rnacentral:rRNA from 1 species
UGGGGAAUAUUGGACAAUGGGCGAAAGCCUGAUCCAGCCAUGCCGCGUGUGUGAAGAAGGUCUUCGGAUUGUAAAGCACUUUAAGUUGGGAGGAAGGGCAGUAAGCGAAUACCUUGCUGUUUUGACGUUACCGACAGAAUAAGCACCGGCUAACUCUGUGCCAGCAGCCGCGGUAAUACAGAGGGUGCAAGCGUUAAUCGGAAUUACUGGGCGUAAAGCGCGCGUAGGUGGUUCGUUAAGUUGAAUGUGAAAGCCCCGAGCUCAACCUGGGAACUGCAUCCAAAACUGGCGAGCUAGAGUAGGGCAGAGGGUGGUGGAAUUUCCUGUGUAGCGGUGAAAUGCGUAGAUAUAGGAAGGAACACCAGUGGCGAAGGCGACCACCUGUGCUCAUACUGACACUGAGGUGCGAAAGCGUGGGGAGCAAACAGG